AACGAACGCUGGCGGCAUGCCUAACACAUGCAAGUCGAACGAGACCUUCGGGUCUAGUGGCGCACGGGUGCGUAACGCGUGGGAACCUGCCCUUAGGUUCGGAAUAACUCCCCGAAAGGGGUGCUAAUACCGGAUAAUGUCUUCGGACCAAAGAUUUAUCGCCUUUGGAUGGGCCCGCGUUGGAUUAGCUAGUUGGUAGGGUAAAAGCCUACCAAGGCGACGAUCCAUAGCUGGUCUGAGAGGAUGACAAGCCACACUGGGAAUGAGACACGGCCCAGACUCCAACGGGAGGCAGCAGGGGGGAAUAUAGGAAGAUGAGCGAAAGCCUGAUCCAGCAACGCCGCGUGAGUGAUGAAGGCGUUAGGGUUGUAAAGCUCUUUUACCCGGGACGAUAAUGACAGUACCGGGAGAAUAAGCACCGGCUAACUCCGUG
rnacentral:rRNA from 1 species